AGUGAACGCUGGCGGCAGGCCUAACACAUGCAAGUCGAACGGCAGCACAAGAGAGCUUGCUCUCUGGGUGGCGAGUGGCGGACGGGUGAGGAAUGCAUCGGAAUCUGCCCAUUUGUGGGGGAUAACCUCGGGAAACCGGGACUAAUACCGCAUACGACCUACGGGUGAAAGCAGGGGAUCUUCGGACCUUGCGCAGACGGAUGAGCCGAUGCCGGAUUAGCUAGUUGGAGGGGUAAAGGCCCACCAAGGCGACGAUCCGUAGCUGGUCUGAGAGGAUGAUCAGCCACACUGGGACUGAGACACGGCCCAGACUCCUACGGGAGGCAGCAGUGGGGAAUAUUGGACAAUGGGCGCAAGCCUGAUCCAGCCAUGCCGCGUGUGUGAAGAAGGCCUUCGGGUUGUAAAGCACUUUUGUUGGGAAAGAAAAGCAGCCGGUUAAUACCCGGUUGUCAUGACGGUACCCAAAGAAUAAGCACCGGCUAACUUCGUG
rnacentral:rRNA from 1 species